rnacentral:lncRNA from 1 species
CGAGCACCUAGAUAAAAGCCGCUGGGUGAAGUCUGCAGCCGGCCGCGGGCAGUGCUGGGCCCCAAGCCAGGUGUGCUCAGGUAUCUGUGUCUGAGCCGCGAGACACGGGAACAUCCCCUGGAAGCUGUCGGGGCGGAAGCUGAGGUGGAGUCAGGCAGCUCAGGUUCACACAAUCUCCGCAAAGAUCCUGCCGGCUGAGGAGGCUGAACCUGGCGAGAUCUAAUCUUAGAGGAACGGGGAAGUUUCUGCACAAGGGCCAAAUUAUUCAUCUUUUGAAAGUAGAACAGGGAUUGCCAACAGCAUCAGCAUUUGAAAUACCCAAGUAUUAAGGAUGGAGAAGAAGAAACGAGUGGAGCUGUCCCUGAGAAAUGGAGAAGCACCUACUACCCAGUCCCGGGUGAUGCUGAUGCUGCCGAGGGUCAGACUGUGUAGCAGAAACCUGGACUCUGUCCUCCAGCUGCCGGAGCGAAACUCAGACACGAGCCUGGAGAGCUGCGGUGAACGUUUGCGAAGAGAAAGGAGGCUGGAAAUUUCACAUCAUCUUUUAAGAUCAUUACGGGUUUUUCCCUCUGGAUGCUUCUGUGCCCUGGGGCAGACCCAGGCUCUGACGGGAGGUAUAGGGUGGAGUUUGUUGACACUGACGCUCUUUCUGCAAUGUCUGCCUGAGGGCCCCGAAUUUGAAUUCAAGCCACUGUUUGGAAGGAUGGCAGGAGUGGACCAACAAUGGAUGGGGCGGCCACGUGCCGGCAUAUGCUAGGGUUUUUAGGACACACACCAGUGUCAUCAUUGUGUGGCUUUCCCACAUCGCUCAGGCUAAUCCACAGGCGAGAACAAUUCCUGUGCAUUUAAAGUGGACAAUAAGAAACGUGAUUCACCCUCAGUAGGCUAUUGAGUCUUUUGAACUUUUUCAUUUCCAUUCACAAAACAAUUGAUGGAAACCAAGUCGUGAGCUUCACCCAGG